rnacentral:rRNA from 1 species
AACGCUGGCGGUAUGCCUAACACAUGCAAGUCGAACGAGAUUCUUUUGAAGCUUUUUCCUUUGGACGAGAGAUGAAGAAAGGAUUGCAGUGGCGACGGGUGAGGAACACGUAAGAACUUACCUUUUGGCGGGGGAUAACAACGGGAAACUGUUGCUAAUACCCCAUAAUGCUGAGGAGCGAAAGGGUCUGGACGAAGUCCUGGUCCACCAAAAGAGAGGCUUGCGUCUGAUUAGCUAGUUGGAGGAGGUAAAUGCUCCCCAAGGCGACGAUCAGUAGCUGGUCUGAGAGGAUGAUCAGCCACACUGGGACUGAGACACGGCCCAGACUCCUACGGGAGGCAGCAGUGGGGAAUUUUCCACAAUGGGCGAAAAACGCCUGACGGAGCAAUACCGCGUGAGGGAUGAAGGACCGUGGUCUGUAAACCUCUUUUCUUAACGAAGAAGUUCUGACGGUAGUUAAGGAAUAAGCGCCGGCUAACUCCGUGCCAGCAGCCGC